UACGAAGGGGGCUAGCGUUGCUCGGAAUCACUGGGCGUAAAGGGUGCGUAGGCGGGUCUUUAAGUCAGGGGUGAAAUCCUGGAGCUCAACUCCAGAACUGCCUUUGAUACUGAGGAUCUUGAGUUCGGGAGAGGUGAGUGGAACUGCGAGUGUAGAGGUGAAAUUCGUAGAUAUUCGCAAGAACACCGGUGGCGAAGGCGACUUACUGGACACAUAUUGACGCUGAGGUGCGAAAGCGUGGGGAGCAAACAGG
rnacentral:rRNA from 1 species